GCCGCGGGAGCGCAGGAGGGCGCGCCGGCACUUCACUGUGGGCCAUGGAACGACCUGCAACCAUCAUGCUUCUCGUCCUGCAGCUCUGCGCUGCCCUUGUUCACAGAGCACUGCACGCCGGCAAUUUCAGUAACAUUACAUCAACUGGGCUGUUAGGUGGCCUGGCCUUCCUGCUUCAGACAUAGUCAAGUCUCCAUAAUGUGACUUUUACAGGCAUCUGUUCAUUUUUCAUCACUGGUCCAUACCCAUAGCUCACAGUGCUCAUGUAUACUGCCUGCAUCUGCUACCCAUAGGAAUUUUUGAAGUUGUCUCUUGUAACCAUCAAAUUUAGAUUUUUCUGGCAAUUUGAAUGCCAUCCGAAUGUUGGGAGACCAUACAUUUUAACGAAGCAAUCUUAAAUUAGUUAUAGCAAAGCUGGAAAUCUUGACACUUGUUGAUAUUGCAUCAGCGUGCAAGUCGCCCAAUGUGGUGUCGACUGAAUUAAGACUUGCACUUGGCGGCCAAACUUCCCGGAUAGGGGCCUCCCGGCCAACGAUGCCAUACGCUCAUUUCAUUUUAUUCCUGAGACACACAAUUCAGCCACUUACAUUAGAGCAGUUAUGGAAAAUACAAGUGAAACAAAUGGAUGCUAUGUUCUCACACAAGAUACUGAUGUCUGGAGACAGUCAGUGCACGGAAUUCGAGAUUUAGACCUUACGAUUUGUGACUACCCUGGUACCAAGGCAGCUAACUACCUAUGCUCCUGCCACACAAGACGAUGACUGGACACGUGUAUCUGGACAUGCUGGAAAAUUGGCUCAGGCCACAACUGGAGACCGAC
rnacentral:lncRNA from 1 species